UCAGACGAUGCGUCAUGCAUAUCAAUAAGCGGAGGAAAAGAAACUAACAAGGAUUCCCCUAGUAACGGCGAGUGAAGCGGGAAGAGCUCAAAUUUGAAAUCUUAAAGGGUUUCCCUUUACGAAUUGUAGUUUAAAGAAGUGUUUUCUGUUGAGGUUUUGGUAAAAGUUCUUUGGAAUAGGACAUCAUAGAGGGUGAGAAUCCCGUAUUUGACCUUUACUUUCAACUUUGUGAUACACUUUCAAAGAGUCGGAUUGUUUGGGAAUGCAGUCCAAAAUGGGUGGUAAAUUUCAUCUAAGGCUAAAUAUUGGCGAGAGACCGAUAGCGAACAAGUACCGUGAGGGAAAGAUGAAAAGAACUUUGAAAAGAGAGUUAAACAGUACGUGAAAUUGUCAAAAGGGAAGCGUUUGACACCAGUGUUGUUUUUCUGAAAAUCAAUUAAAGAACUGUUUAUGCUAAGCUGUUUAGACUUUAUCAGCUAAUCUGUUUAGUUUUGAGCUUUUCUUUAAUGCACUUUUCAGUUAACAAGUCAACAUCAAUUUCUUUUGCUGUAAAAAAGCUUGAGGAAGGUGGCUUGAGAUUCGUCUUAAGUGUUUAUAGCCUCUUGCCUAUGCAGUCGGAGAGAUUGAGGUCUGCAGCGUAGAUCCUUCGGGGCUAAAUGCAUUUGUGCUAAGUUAUAGCAUUUUAUAGACAACUUGUUGACUAUGAUUUGUCUUGUAGCUUACUCGCUUAUGUUAUUUUACCUACGCUUAGGAUGUUGACACACGCGCGUGCUCG
rnacentral:rRNA from 1 species